rnacentral:tRNA from 1 species
GGAGGGUUAGCUCAGUUGGUAGAGCAAGAGACUCUUAAUCUCUUGGUCCAGGGUUCGAAUCCCUGACCCUUCACCA